rnacentral:rRNA from 1 species
GACGUAGGAUGCAAGCGUUGUUCGGAAUUACUGGGCGUAAAGCGCACGUAGGCGGCUUUGUAAGUUAGAGGUGAAAGCCCAGGGCUCAACCCUGGAAUUGCCUUUAAGACUGCAUCGCUUGAACAUCGGAGAGGUAAGUGGAAUUCCGAGUGUAGAGGUGAAAUUCGUAGAUAUUCGGAAGAACACCAGUGGCGAAGGCGACUUACUGGACGAUUGUUGACGCUGAGGUGCGAAAGCGUGGGGAGCAAACAGG